UGGCUGAGCGGUAAAGCGCUUGGCUUCCGAACUGGGGGGUCCGGGUUCAAAUCCCGG
rnacentral:tRNA from 1 species